rnacentral:lncRNA from 1 species
CAUGCCUGAGAAAUCUAUCUAGAUAGCUCAAACAAUUCACCAGGACAGUUAAAGAUCAAGGGAAUGACCUGAAUGUUAUUUAAGUGCAUCUAAGAUCCUGCCACUUUAAAAGGUCUAGACAGCCUAGUCUUGUAGCUCUCAGGUAGUGGGAGUUUCAUAGGGCAGGGUUACCAUCUGAAAGAAAAGCUGUGGAAGGCGCAUCUCAUUUUUCAGAGCUCCCCAUGGGCCUGAAGUACUCCUGCUAAUACAGACAUUCAUUACCUGAUGCAUUUUACAAGAGGACUCGUGGAUGAAGAUGAUGUUUGAAUUGUUCUUUGUUGUGUGGCAAGGAGAAGCGGGUCCCUGAGGGCAAAAAUCCUGAAGGCUAAUGAAAUCGAACCAGGAGAAAAGCAUUAAAGCCUUGGAAAAUCACACAGAGGAGAAGACAAUUUUUGAGGAGAGGCCGCAUUGUCCAGUGGGCAAGGUACAGGACUGGGAGUCAGGAGACAUGGAUUCUUUUUGCCAGCUCCGCCACUGACCUGAUGUGCCCCCUUUGGCAAGUCACUCAACCACUCAGUUUCUUCAUGGGGUACUUACCUUCCUUUUUAAAAGUACGUUGAGACCCUUAGAUUAUAAAUGCUAAAUAUUAU